AGGCAGAUGGAUUUUCAAGAAGGGUGUUCAUUUGUUAUUGUGAUGUUGAAAGAAACCCUGUCUACAUGAAGUACCUUCAACGUGACCCAUGACCGCCCGGAGACACUUGAGUUCAACAUCAAAGUGUGGGGAUGUGCCUCACUAUGUUUAGACUAAACUGGAUGUUGUUUACAACUUUCAAGCGCCAAGGGUCAGAUUUACCACGUGAAUUCAAAUAUUAAUGGUCUCAGCCCUGGAAUAUGGCAGCCGUAUCGCAAGUUAUCGUAUGAAUCCUCCGUUCUCUGACCUGCUGCAUCGCCAUCCGAGAUGCUGUGCACGCAAUACUGUCGAAUUCUGGCUGUUUCAAACACCAUCUCACUGUUUUUUGCGGUGAAUGCUGUAAUCAGUGCACAUGAGAAAUGCACAACAGAUUUAUUCAAAUCCAAAGGGGUGAUCAAAAGCCCAAACAGGACACAGCUUCAAGACAUUUUUCUGCAUGAAAAUCAUGAGAGUAAUUUGACAUGCAGGUGGAUUAUUUAUCCACAGUCUGGCAUCAUCAAGCUAGAGUUUCCUAAAUUCAAGAUGGGAGUAAAGACAGCAGCCAAUGAAUGUACUAACUCAGUAACUUUGAAGAUGAUUGAUAGAAGUGCACGUUCUUUUGGUUCUCCAGAGGAAGUUCGACUGUGUGGUGUUAAGUCACCUCCGAGCUAUUUCAGCAAAGGACCUAUGCUGGAAAUAAAACUCAUGGGAAACCUUUUGCAUCCUUCUUUUGACAAUUUCUCCUUUGAAGCAUUGUACACUACAGUCACUACUGUACCCACUGUCCAAGACAAAUGUGAUCCUUGUGGUGGGAGGCUAAACAGAGAAACUGGAAUGAUCCGAUCGCCUAGAUACCCCAAAAAUUAUCCAAACAAUUGUGAUUGCAAGUGGAUUAUAUCAGUUCGCAAGGGAUACAUAGUGAAGUUAAAGUUUUGGGCUUUUUCGCUAGAGGAGAUGGAAGGUAAAAUAUGUCAUGACUUUCUGUCCAUCAAUGAUGGGACAUCUAGCGAUGCCACAUUGCUAGGUAAAUAUUGUGGAAACGAAAGUCCCGGAACUAUAAAGACGACAAAUAGCUAUGCCUUUCUAUAUUUUCAUUCGGAUUUCUCCAAAGCUAGCUCUGGUUUUGAAAUUAUGUUCGAGUCGCAGAGAGAUGAAGAGGACCUGACCAGCCUUCGCUCGAUUGCUGCUAUUCUUGGUGGCGUAAGUUUUGGUAUAUUCAUAUUCAUCUUGCUGUGUUCCAUCGUUUACAAACGGUAUGUUGGUGGGGAUGAUAGACGGAACACCUGCCCACCUGUAAAUGGAGAUGAUGAUUACUUGGACGCAGUACAAGCUGCUGCGCCUCCUUCAUACCAGGCAGUAAUGGCAGAUCCUGAUCAUUAUCCAAGAACCCCAGAGGUAACUCCAGCAGCCUCACCAGCUGUUACUCCAAUUCUGCCAAGACGAAAUUUGAUACGACCAUCACCGUUGCACUAUGAUGGUACCCCUCAUCUAGAGUCACUGGAAGAGGAUGAAUGGAACGGAGUAGAGACUCCACCACCACCUUAUCCGGGAAACGCAGCGCCGAGUUUUGAGGAGGAAAUUCUUAUCAGAGACCUGCCACCCCCACCAACAUAUGAAAUGGUCUCAGAUAAUGAGGAGCACGAGGAGUCCGUGCCUUCAUGGGCACCUUCGGAUUUACGCGUAGAACCAACGAUUCUUGCAACAACUGAAGCACAUAGUAGCUCCUCGAAUAAUUCUGAAAGCACUUCAACACAAGUGACAACAUGUGAAAGUAGCUGUUGUAGUUCAAAUGGACUCGUAAGGCUGGGUACCCCAUCCGGGGACUGCAGAUCGAGUUUCACGCGUCUACCUCACAGAGACGAAGUACUGUGUUUACGAUGUAUUGAAGAGUCUGUACCUGAAGUACGGAUUCGUCGACAACGAUCUGAUGGAAGUAUGCAUGAAAAUUAUUUAUUAUUAAGAGAUGACGGACAUGAAAGGAGUUUACGCUGCCCACACACGCAGCCGCUACGCCGUCGAAAAUCGUCUUACGAAUGCGGCGUUAAUGAUGAUAUUAAUGCAAAUACAGACAUUACGUGCGAUAAAAGGGAAGCUAAGUGGCUACAAGCUCGCAAAGAGCGAUGUCGAAGCGUUCCUUCGUUAAGCCAAAGAAGCGAAACUGCAGUGCAUCGCCGACGUAAUGUGUUCACUAACCAUUCCCCACUUACCAUUCGGUCGCUGUUUGGCAGACAUAAUCACAAUCAUAAUUCUAAUCGCGUUUCACCUAGGAAUUCAAGCUCGAAUAGUCAUGAUUCAAUUAGGGAUUCACAGCCGAGAACUGACACGGCUACUGCAAACUCUGUUCCCAGCCAUGAUCAACAACUUCGUAGGUCUUCGCAUAUUUGAAUUUUAGUUAUGUUAGGUGAAAGGUUAUUGUUUUAAUACAUAUAGUCUAUUGUUUUUUUUACUUGUAGAGUAUAUAUAUGUUAAAUAGAGGCAAGUUGAUUAGGGAGCGAUCAUUGCUAAUGCCUGAACUAAGGGGUAGGAAAUUGAUGAUGAUUUUUGGUAUUUCUCAGCCAUGCAAGACAUUUUACUUGGUUCAAAAUAGCUAAUAAAGAGCGAUUGUCGUUAGGUUAGUUAUCUUAUCAGCUUCAUUUUGGCAACUUAUUUUGCUUCGCUGUGCUUAUAACUGGCCUUUGAAGCCGCCUAAUAAAUCACAAAUUAUCUGUUCUCAAGAUAGAAAUGACUUAUGCAUUUUAUUUGUGGCCUAUUUUGAUGAUCGGAACCCAAAAAAAUUUGUGCGAUGUAUUACUUAUGUUGCUGUUGGGAACCAAUAAUGUGUUGCUCUUUGUACGUCUGUGUAUAUAGAAUAAGUAUUGAAAAUCAUAGUUUACGAUAAAGGACCUGCUCAAUUCAGCAGUUCAACUAUCACUUUUAUUUAUUUAGAAUAAACUUCGAGGGAAAAGCCAGCAAAGACAAUGUUGCCGCGAGACGCUUAGUUCUGUAGUACCUGCGUCACAGCGUCAAUAAAUGAUCAUUAGCGCAGUGUAAUUGGUUGCAACUAUGCGACAGACAGCGACUGACUAGGGCUGAAAGACUACGCUGCACCACCGCAAGCAUCUGCACGACUUUUCAGGUUAUAUGCAAACCAGCGUUUACGACCGCAGUGCCACGAAGAGAUCGUGAAAUGUGUCGAUUCUGAAGACGGAAUUCAUGCCUCCUUCCAAGUUGGUCGACUUAAUACGUUUUCUUUGAUAUGAAAAUUUCUUCAUUACCCGAUAUUCUUGAAAGUCAGCAAAGAUUUCCCCGCAGCCUCCCCUGCAAUGCCUCAAGAAAAAUGAAAGGGAAAUGUUGUGAUAAAAUUAUUCAUCUCCAAGUACCCUUUCAAUUUAAUAGAUG